CGCCUUGCCAGCCCGCUCAGAAACUCAAAGGAAUUGACGGGGGCCCGGCACAAGCGGUGGAGCAUGUGGUUUAAUUCGAUGAUACGCGAGGAACCUUACCUGGGCUCAAAUGUAUGUUGACGUAUUCUGAAAGGGAUACUUCUUCGGACAAUAUACAAGGUGCUGUAUGGUUGUCGUCAGCUCGUGCCGUGAGGUGUCGGGUUAAGUCCCAUAACGAGCGCAACCCCUAUCAUUAGUUGCCAUCAGGUCAAGCUGGGGACUCUAAUGAAACUGCCUACGCAAGUAGUGAGGAAGGUGGGGAUGACGUCAAAUCAGCACGGCCCUUACGUCCAGGGCUACACACGUGCUACAAUGGCCGGUACAAAGGGUUGCCAAGCCGCGAGGUGGAGCUAAUCCCAUAAAACCGAUCGUAGUCCGGAUCGCAGUCUGCAACUCGACUGCGUGAAGUCGGAAUCGCUAGUAAUCGUGAAUCAGCCAUGGCGCGGUGAAUACGUUCCCGGGCCUU
rnacentral:rRNA from 1 species